GACGAACGCUGGCGGCGUGCUUAACACAUGCAAGUCGAGCGGAGACAUUUAGCGGAAGUUUUCGGAUGGAAGCUGAAUGUUUUAGCGGCGGACGGGUGAGUAACGCGUGAGCAACCUUUCCUCUACUGGGGAAUAACACAGGGAAACUUGUACUAAUACCGCAUGGGACCACGGCCUGGCAUCGGGCUGAGGUGAAAGAUUUAUGGUAGAGGGUGGGCUCGCGUCCGAUUAGGUAGUUGGUGAGGUAACGGCCCACCAAGCCGACGAUCGGUAGCCGACCUGAGAGGGUGAUCGGCCACAUUGGGACUGAGACACGGCCCAA
rnacentral:rRNA from 1 species